AUGAUGACGUUGGCGUCGUAAUUAAGAUGGCCGCGUGGGGUCGGUGCUAAUGGAGACGGCAGCCCGCGUCCGGGGUGUGGUGGGGAGCGGUGGCGCGGUGGUUAGCAACAUCGACCCCCCACUCGUGACUGGUGCGUGACGUCAUUCAUCGACGGCCCCCUAAUCCAGCACCGCCUGAAGGGCACCCGGAUCGUGACCGCCGUCCACGCAGUUCCAGGCAGAGACACCGCCGUAGAGCACGGUGCAGAGACGCCGUGGGGAGGUGCGUGACGUCAUUUAUGGACCGCCCCUACAGCGUGGUUUCCCCCACCUCUUCGAAAGCGUUCUGGCUCAGCACGGAAGAGUAGGCCAAGAUUCCCACGGAGGGGAGGGGGGGGGGUGGGUGGGUUGGACGCAGUUCCUCUCGUCUGAGGGCCUUCCGCCAGCAGUGCCUUUAGAACGCAGUUGCAGCGCUGCGCCUCCGUGCGUCAAUUUACAUCCCAGUCGAAGGAUGCGCGCCCCGCAAAGAGCACCACCUCACGACCCUGCCGGGAGAGCCAGACGGGUGGAGCCCCGUGACGAGCUCCACCGUGGCGGCGGCGUGUUCUGAGACGUCCGUGGCGAUCUCUGCGCGAUCCACCUACCCCACCUACCCCUCCCCACCCCCCCCCGCCGCCGCCAGCAAUCGUCGCGAGUCUAUCUGCGGGGUGCUUUAAUGUGGCUGAAUGAGUUUCACCCCCUCCCUCGUCCCUCCUCGUCCCUCCCCUC